CCUACGGGGGGCAGCAGUGAGGAAUAUUGGUCAAUGGACGAGAGUCUGAACCAGCCAAGUAGCGUGAAGGAUGACUGCCCUAUGGGUUGUAAACUUCUUUUAUAUGGGAAUAAAACGUUCCACGUGUGGGAUUUUGUAUGUACCAUAUGAAUAAGGAUCGGCUAACUCCGUGCCAGCAGCCGCGGUAAUACGGAGGAUCCGAGCGUUAUCCGGAUUUAUUGGGUUUAACGGGAGCGUAGGUGGAUUGUUAAGUCAGUUGUGAAAGUUUGCGGCUCAACCGUAAAGUUGCAGUUGAAACUGGCAGUCUUGAGUACAGUAGAGGUGGGCGGAAUUCGUGGUGUAGCGGUGAAAUGCUUAGAUAUCACGAAGAACUCCGAUUGCGAAGGCAGUUCACUGGACUGCAACUGACACUGAGGCUCGAAAGUGUGGGUAUCAAACAGGAUUAGAUACCCUGGUAGUC
rnacentral:rRNA from 1 species